AUAAAAGAUUAAGUUAUUAAGGGCGCACGGUGGAUGCCUUGGCACUAGAAGCCGAUGAAGGACGUUCCUCCCUCCUCUCUGCUUUUUUGAGCUGUAAGUAAG
rnacentral:rRNA from 1 species